UACGAAGGGGGCGAGCGUUGUUCGGAUUUACUGGGCGUAAAGGGCGCGCAGGCGGUUCUGUUUGUCGAGUGUGAAAGCCCCGGGCUCAACCUGGGAACUGCGCUCGAAACGGCGGAACUAGAGUUCGGGAGAGGAGAGUGGAAUUCCCAGUGUAGAGGUGAAAUUCGUAGAUAUUGGGAAGAACACCGGUGGCGAAGGCGGCUCUCUGGACCAGCACUGACACUGAAGCACGAAAGCGUGGGGAGCAAACAGG
rnacentral:rRNA from 1 species